rfam:Patagioenas fasciata monilis isolate BTP2013 Sc31e1R_53, whole genome shotgun sequence.
CCAAAGGCUCUUUUAAGAGCCACCCACUUUCUCCUAAAAAGAGCUGU